ensembl:snoRNA small nucleolar RNA SNORD67
CAUCAUGAUGAGUUGCGCUGUCGGCGGGGUUGCAUUUGACUGCAGUGGCGGUCGCGAGCCCCUCCCCGAUUCUCCAUGGUGACACACGAUGUGCACGGGGGCCAUCUGAAAAGC